rnacentral:misc_RNA from 1 species
GAAAUGCGAUAAGUAAUGUGAAUUGCAGAAUUCAGUGAAUCAUCGAAUCUUUGAACGCACCUUGGGCUCCUUGGUAUUCCUUGGAGCAUGCCUGUUUGAGUAUCAUGAAAUCUUCAAAGUAAAUCUUUUGUUAACUCAAUUGGCUUCUACUUUGGUAUUGGAGGUCUUUGCAGCUUCACACCUGCUCCUCUUUGUUCAUUAGCUGGAUCUCAGUGUUAUGCUUGGUUCCACUCGGCGUGAUAAGUUAUCUAUCGCUGAGGACACUGUAAAAGGUGGCCAAGGUAAAUGCAGAUGAACCGCUUCUAAUAGUCCAUUGACUUGGACAAUACUUUUAUGAUCUGAUCUCAAAUCAGGUAGGACUACCCGCUGAACUUAAGC